rnacentral:pre_miRNA from 1 species
CUUCGCUUCUGGGUGUAUGGUGUUCAGCGCCAGGGACAGGUUUGUUUACCUGUGUCCAGAUACUGUUCAGCACCAAGUACAGAUGGAUCUGUCC